UACGUAGGGUGUGAGCGUUAAUCGGAAUUACUGGGCGUAAAGCGUGCGCAGGCGGUUCGUUGUGUCGGCGGUGAAAGCCCCGGGCUCAACCUGGGAAUGGCCGUUGAAACUGGCGAACUGGAGUGUGGCAGAGGGGGGUGGAAUUCCGCGUGUAGCAGUGAAAUGCGUAGAGAUGCGGAGGAACACCGAUGGCGAAGGCAGCCCCCUGGGCUGACACUGACGCUCAGGCACGAAAGCGUGGGGAGCAAACAGG
rnacentral:rRNA from 1 species